ACGCCGGUGCCGGCCAAAAGGGGGCUGAUCCUGCCAAUUCACAACGGCUUGUCUCGUCGAGAAGGGGAAAACCCGGGGGUAUAAGCGUUAUACAGUGAAACUGCGAAUGGCUCAUUAAAUCAGUUAUAGUUUAUUUGAAGAUAAUACCAUUAGGAUAACCGUGGUAAUUCUAGAGCUAAUACUUGCUUUCUAGGCUUUAUUAGAUAUGAAUCACAAUAACUUCAGAUCGAUUGACGCUUCAUUCAAAUUUCUGCCCUAUCAGCUAGAUGGCACGGUAUUGGCGUACCAUGGCAGUAACGGGUAACGGGGAAUUAGGGUUCGAUUCCGGAGAGGGAGCCUGAGAAACGGCUACCACAUCCAAGGAAGGCAGCAGGCGCGCAAAUUACCCAAUCCCAAUUCGGGGAGGUAGUGACAAUAAAUAACGAUGCGGGGCCAUUGGUCUUGCAAUUGGAAUGAGAACACGAUAAAUAGGUUAACGAGGAGCAACAUGAGGGCAAGUCUGGUGCCAGCAGCCGCGGUAAUUCCAGCUCAUGUAGUGUAUAUUAAAAUUGUUGCAGUUAAAAAGCUCGUAGUUGAUAUUCGGGUAAAGAAGCUUCUUUAUUGAAGUUUUCUGAGCCUAGGUCUGUACUUGUACAGACCAGUUACUUUGAGAAAAUUAGAGCGCUUAAAGCAGUCAUUGAAUACGUUAGCAUGGAAUAACAGAAGGACGACAUUUCUUUUGUGGGAAUAUCGUAAUUGAUUAACAGGGACAGUCGGGGGCAUCAGUAUUCAGGAGCUAGAGGUGAAAUUCUUGGAUUUCCUGAAGACUAACUAAUGCGAAAGCAUUUGCCAAGGAUGUCUUCAUUAAUCAAGAACGAAAGUUAGGGGAUCGAAGACGAUCAGAUACCGUCGUAGUCUUAACAGUAAACUAUGCCGAUAGAGUGGAGGAUGGACUAUCAAAUCUAUUCUCCGCUCAAGCGAAAGCAGUUGGUUCUGGGGGGAGUAUGGUCGCAAGGCUGAAACUUAAAGGAAUUGACGGAAGGGCACCACCAGGAGUGGGGCCUGCGGCUUAAUUUGACUCAACACGGGGAAACUCACCAGGUCCAGACACAAUGAGGAUUGACAGAUUGAGAGCUCUUUCAUGAUUUUGUGGGUGGUGGUGCAUGGCCGUUCUUAGUUGGUGGAGUGAUUUGUCUGCUUAAUUGCGAUAACGGACGAGAUUUUGACGAGCAGUUGGUGAAAUCACAUUUUGUGGUGGAUCCGUCUACUCGGACAGCUGAUGCAAAUCAGAGGAAGCGAGGCAAUAACAGGUCUGUGAUGCCCUUAGACGUUCUGGGCCGCACGCGCGCUACACUGACUCGGUCAACGAGAGCCUUUGUUUAGCAACAUGGGAGAUCUUUGAAAUCGGGUCGUGCUGGGGAUAGAGCCUUGCAAUUAUUGCUCUUGAACGAGGAAUUCCUAGUAAGCGCAAGUCAUCAGCUUGCGUUGAUUACGUCCCUGCCCUUUGUACACACCGCCCGUCGCUACUACCGAUUGAAUGGCUUAGUGAGGGUUUUGGAGAGCUUUUGAAAAAGGGCAACCUUAUUCAUAUGCUCGAAGAUAGACAAACUUGGUCAUUUAGAGGAAGUAAAAGUCGUAACAAGGUUUCCGUAUUCACCCAGCAAACAGAUCAA
rnacentral:rRNA from 1 species